UUGUCCGAAUAUGAUUGAACUAAAUACUUUCAUUAUUCUGAUGAGCUAUCUCAUAGCUCGGUACAGAAGCGAUUGGAGAUCUUAACUGAGGGAAU
rfam:Hordeum vulgare subsp. vulgare, WGS project CAJW01000000 data, contig: morex_contig_149883